CUUUAUCUUCAAGUUAAAUGGAAAUUUGCUUUUAUAAGUUUUCCUUUUCUGUUUACUCUGAUUCAUCUGACCUGAAUAUCAGUAUCUGCACACAAACGCAGCAUUCUCAGCAAACCAGGAAUCUGUAAACUGAACCACUGACAAUAUACCCAAUUGCUAAAACAGGUACAGAUCAACAGGUAUCAAAAAAUGAGAAGAAAUAAUCAUUGUAUUCUCAUAUCCAGUUCUGACCACAGAUGGAGUAGGCUGUAAUUAAAAACAUAGUUAAUUUUAGAAGGAGUUAGUUCUGGUGCUUCCCAGAAUUCACCAGAACUGUUUUCUCAUUGAUGCUCCUUGCUGUUUUGAGCAAGUCAUUAAAUGAACAGCUGCCCAUAGUUAAUAUGGAGAACCAAGCUGGAAAUCACAUUGCUGCUUUACUGAGUUCUGUUCUUGAAUAAUUCAUACCCUUCCAGUUUCCUAAGUGGAUCCCUGCAUAUUUCAUGCUCUCACAGUUUUCUAGUUCACUCCCUGACUACUUCUGGCUGCCCACAGUUUUGUUACCUACUUCUUGUCGCAAUUUCUUAGGUAUGUCCUUGCCUCACAGUUUCCUAAGUGUGUCCCUACCUACUCUGUAUCCCUCACAUUUUCAUGGGCAUAACCCUACCUACGUAAUGCCUGUCACAGUUUCUUAGGUGUGCCCCUCCCCGAUUCAUCACCCUCAUAGUUUCCUGUUUAUGCCCCUUAUAGUUUUCUAGGUGUGCCUUGUCAUGUUCGUGACCCUCAUAGUUUCCUUGGUGUGUCCCACCUGCUUCAUGAUGGUAAUAGUUUCCUAGGUUUGUCCCUGCUUGCUUCAUGUCCCUCACAGUUUCAUUGGUAUAAUGCUACCUACUUAAUUCCUGUCACAGUUUGUGUGUUCCUCUCUCACAGUUUCUUAGGUAUACCCCUCCCCUCACAGUUUCGUAGGUGUGCCACUCCCUGCGUCAUCCCCAUCAUAGUUUCCUGUGCGUGUGCCCUGCACUGUUUAUGCCUGUCAUAGUUUCCUAGGGUAUGCCCUGUCGUGCUUAUGACCCUCAUAGUUUUUUAGGUGUGUCGCACCUGCUUUAUGCCCAUAAUAGUUUCCUAGGUGUAUCCCUGGCUGCUUCACACCCCUUAUUGUUUCUCAGGUUUACCCCUACCUACUUUCUGCUCCUCAUAGUGUUGUGCCUGUCUGCUUCACACCCCUCAUUGUUUCUCAGGUUUAUCCCUACCUGCUUUCUGCUCCUCAUAGUGUUGUGCCUGUCUGCUUCACACCCCUCAUUGUUUCUCAGGUUUACCCCUACCUACUUUCUGCUCCUCAUAGUGUUGUGCCUGUCUGCUUCACACCCCUCAUUGUUUCUCAGGUUUACCCCUACCUACUUUCUGCUCCUCAUAGUGUUGUGCCUGUCUGCUUCACACCCCUCAUUGUUUCUCAGGUUUACCCCUACCUACUUUCUGCUCCUCAUAGUGUUGUGCCUGUCUGCUUCACACCCCUCAUUGUUUCCUUAGUGUGCCUCUGCCAGCUUCACACCCCUCUUACUUUCCUAGGUGUGCUUUAUUGUGUACGUGCCCCUCAUAGUUUCCUGGGUGUGCUUUCCAGAUUCCUAGGUGCCUAAUCCCCCUCCCUUGUUUCCCGAUUUACAUUUGGUGUUUACUUUAGUACUGCUUUACCAUGCAGUUACAAAACUGUCUCCAUCUCAUCUCAUUGUGCUUCUUCCUCUGGGCUCAGGAGAGUAUAGUUCCAUCCCCUUUUUACUCCAGCUUCCAUUAGCUCUCCUUGCUUGGAGUAGUUGCUUUGAAUUUUCUUGCAAAUGUAAUUUCUGUUUUGUCUGAUAUCCUCCCAUCUAGCACCACGGUAUAAUAAUUAAUGUUUUUCUUGAAGAUUUAGGAACACAGCUAAAAAAAUAAUGGAAGACAAAGGCCCAAAAACAGGAACAUUUUUUUUAAAUGUUACCCUAAUGCACUUAAAAAAAGUUAAUUGGUUUUCAUCAAGAUGCAUUUCCUGAAGAGUAAGGGGAUUGAAAUUCUAAUGUCUGCCAUUAGCGACUGACUGUAAUCCUCAGUGAUUUCAAAAAUUUUAAUAGCAACAGAGCAAAAUAUGAGGCAAAACUAGUAAUAGCUGAGAGUUCUGGAUGACAGACAGGAUAUUUCAAUAUUCUGUGUCCCAUCCAAGGGCACCACAGACUCAGUAAGGGCCUGUCUAAUUGGAAUUUAGGCUAAGAGUGUGCAUUACCAGCAAUCAGUUUUAAUGUGUGCUUAAAAAUGGCACCUUGUCAGGGCUGAUGUAGUUAAGCCCAUGGCCAGUCAAGAAGUACUAGCUGGUAGGUAGAAGCAUGACUGAUAAUUCCUGUUCCUUCUCAUUUCCUUUCAUAGUGAGUGAUAAGGAAUGGGUAAGGACAUUGAUGUUUGUUGUCAGGAGAAGAGAUGUUUAGAAGUGAAAUUGAGUGCUUCAAGACAGAGGCUAGAGAUGGGAGAUGUAGCUGUGGGAAGGGGUGAAAUGUAAAUGUCCCAUAAUCCUUUAUGCAGGAUUCAGAAUGCGUAGUAGUGGAAGUGAUGCAUCAGUGCCUCUGGUUAUGUGGAGUUGUAUCAUUGUCUAGAAUGCAUUUUCAGUUUAUUUGUGAUGUUCUGCUAUUGUCUUGUACACAUUGUCAGUUUAUUUAUGUUUAUUGCUUCACAGAAAUAGAAAUGUCAAGCCUAUUGCAUACUUUUACCAUAAAGUGCCUCAGGAUGUAUCCUUGUGAUGUAAGAGAUCUGGCUGCUGACCUUGUAGUCAGCCCUGGAUGAAAAAAGUUUUUAUGUUUGGCAUUAUGUUACCAAAAAUCUGAAUUAAAUGAAUGAGUGAAACUACUGUGUGGAUGGCAUCUGCUGUUCAUGGGGUUACUGUAGAAGUCAGAUGUGACUAACAGCAUUAUAUGGGAACUACCACAGGCCUUAUCUCAGUUUACUAGAGAUUCAUUAAAAAAAAAACAUACAAUAAAAUGUCUUAAUUUAUGUUAUAUUUAAAGCAAACCACUGCUUUCACAUACUUUUCAACCAUUAAGAGACGUGAGAUAAGUCAGUAUUUUUUUUUAUCAUUUUAUUAGUAGAAAACACAGCAAUAAAAAUAUAACUGUUGAUCUGAUGUCUGUUUAGUCUUCAUCAAACCUGUGGGUUACAGUUCCCCCUUUGGAACCAACUUGGCCAUUAGCAAGCUAAAGCUUCCUAACUAGAGCUCCUCCUGCCUACCCACAAUCCCUCACUUUUCCCAGAUGCUCCAGAUCUCAUUUUCAGCACAUCAGCAAUGCAUGAUUGUAAGUUUAGAGCUUCUCCGUGGGUUUAUUUUCUUCAAAAUUGUUGUGAGUUGGCCUUUGGCCUGUUCUUUCUUACCAUUCUCUUUAGCCUUUUGUAUUCAUUUAAAAAAAAAACUCCUUAGCUUAGUUUUCUUUUUCUUUCCGCGUUAUGUUCUCCCUUCACUCCCAUCUUCUUCUUUCUUUUUUCUUCUUCUGCUCUUCUUCCACUAUGUCGGAGAAAUCUGACAAGCCUGUAGGUUUUAAGAAAUGUAUGUCCUAUCAGCACAAGAUCCCCCAUCUCUGAUGUCCACAGGGAGUGUGUUUACUGUCUGGGGCCUGCACAUCUUGAAGUGGUGUGCUGUAUCUGCUAGGCCUUCCUCCAUGAGGCUAUUGCAGAUAAAAGGAAUAAUCAGGUCUUAAAAGGGCUUAUUCCACCUCCCUCCUCAGCUAUCCCUUCUGUGUCAGAGGCUCAAACCUUGCUAAGAAACUUAAGGAGGUCAGAGACCCUAAGAAACAGUUCCUGGAUCCCCUCCUCUUCAGCUGUUUUGGAGCUUCCCAAAAAGGCUCCCAGAAUGUCAGAGCAGAGCCCUUCUGCUCCGACUUCUACGCCUACCCCUGUGCCGCAUGCCCCAAUCAUCAAGUUGAGGCUGGGGCCAUCGGUGCCAAGUACAUCCCCUUGGGAUGUUUCUCCCAGGCCUAACUUCAGGCCUUCCUCUGUUUACUCUUCCAUCAGAUCCUCUUGGAGCUUGUCAGAGAAUGAGGUGGACAGAUUGAUGAAAAAAUUUCUCUGCACACAGAUCCUGAUGGUGGUCACUCCAGCUCCGUCCCUGAUGAGAUCUGUGAGCAGACCUCCCCUGUGCAAAAUAGUAUCUCUUUCUCCAAUCCGGCCUGCCACUUCACAGCUCCUGGAUCUGUCAGUCCUAUUGGCUGAGACAUCGGGUCUGAUAGUUAUCUCAACUUUGAGUCUGACUGCUUCCCUGAUUUGCUCAGUGCUGACUGCAUCUUGGAGCCGAAGCCACGACACUGAGUUUUGGGAGUCUUAGAGCUCUCUCUUCCCCUUGGUGCCUCAGCAUCCGACAGGUCAUCCCCAACCCCUCCCUUGGAGUGGAGGGCUGUUGGAGACCAGGGACGGUCUGCUUAUGAUCCUUUGGGGCAGGGGAUUCUUCCUUGGGACUCUGGGAGGCCUUCAGCCUUUGAGGUGGAGAACAGGGUUCUCUCUAUUCCUUUGAGAUUCCUAGAUUCUACUAUAGCGGAUCCACCCCUUCCCCUUCUGGACUCUGCAUCAGAGACCCUACUUGUGCCUCUGGUGCAGCCAGCCCCUCAGGGUCUCCAGUCUCUUCCACUUGUGGAAGCCCAAGUUUCUUCCGACACCUCCCAGGAACACCCCAACAAGGAGGCUCCUUGGAAGAAAAGGUGCAAAAGGAGACACCUAUAUUCCCCAGAGGAAUCUCUCAUGACAGACUGACUUCAGUGAAGGGGAGAGGUCCCCUAGAUCUCCAUCUGAUGUCUCAUUUGGAGACAUUUUGGAAAUUCUUCAUCAGAGAGGUGGUUGGUCAGCCCCACCCCCCACCCCAGAUGAGUCAGUGUUCCUGGAGGCCUUUUGGACCGACCCAUCUACAUCCUGGGUGUCCCCCCCCAAACCUCCUACUGGACCUGGUGUCUGCAAGGGCAUGGAAGGAACCAGACAUUGCAGAGCUGAUCCCUAAAAGAGCUGACAAAAUUCUUAGUGCCCCCCGGAAAUGACCCCACUGGAUGAAGGGUAUUCCAUUAGAUGCUGUGGUGGUUGCAGUGGCCAUCAAAAAAGGGCUUGCCCAAGAAAGCUCUACUGUCCAUCCACCUAAAAGGGAGUCUAAGGUUAUGGACAUCUUUGGAAAAAGCAUUUACACUUAUUCCACCUUCGCCCUCAGAGCAUCGAACUAUCUUUCCCAUUUUACAAGGCCACAGAGGAACUUGCUUAAGGAACUUUCUAGCUCCGGCUCUGAGGCCAAGAUAUUCCUUCGGAGAGAUCCUUGCAGCUUCCUUGAAGGUUUGCCCGACUGUCUCUCUCUGGAGGCAGUGAGGGGAUGUUGCUCCUUGCACCUGACAGCCUGGAUACAAAUAACUGAAGAGUCCAAGGAAUUAUAUUCAGAGGUUACUCCAUUCCCUUUUUAAACCUCCCCAAGUCAAAACAAAUCCUCCCUGAUGUACCACCCAGUCAGAAGGAGGCAGCAGCUUUAGAAAUUGCAGACUUGCAUCAAAAAAAAGUAAUCCAGGAGGUCCCUCCAGACCAAAGCAGAUCAGGAAUCUACUCAUGGUUCUUUUUAGUUCCAAAGAAAACAGGGGACCUCAGGCCCAUACUGGACUUAUCUUAUCUGAAUAUAUUGGUGAAACACAAGGCGUUAAGGAUGGUCACGGUUCAGUCCAUCCUUCCUUUUCUACAGAUAGAUGACUGGAUGUGUUCAGUAGACCUGAAGGAUACGUACUAUCAUAUCAAAAUGAACAGGCGCUCGAGACGGUACCUUGGCUUCAGGCAGGGAGCUGGCUACUUCCAGUACUGACUGCUUCCAUUUGGUCUUCCAUUUGGUCUUACCACAGCCCCCAGGGUGUUCACCAAAUGCAUGACAGUAGUUGCAGCUCACCUCAGGCUGGAGGGAUUCCAUGUGUUUCCUUAUCUGGACGACUGGCUCCUAGCUGUACCAACCAGGCAUCUACUGAUUUAGGCCACCAACCAGGCAUCUGCUGUUUCAGACCAGGGGCUUUCUCUUGCAAUUGGUCCCAGCCUUAGGGAUCACUAUAAAUCUUCAGAAGUCGCAAUUACAACCAGUACAAACCGUAGAUUUUAUAGGAGCUCAUUUGGACACAAACAAAACCCUGGCCUGUCUCUCCCAGACACGAUUCAUUUGCUAAGGAAUGCAUGUCAGACAAAUGUUAGCUAUUUCAGUCCCUCCAGCAAAUCUUGUCCUCAGGCCUUUGGGCUCUAUGGCCAUAACAAUAAUAUUACUACCAACAGCUUGUUUAGACAUGAAAAUUCUUCAGUGAACAUUGUCAGUUCAGUGGCCCCUUCUGCACCAAACCAAUCCUAUAAGGUUGUCAUGGGUGUGCAGAACUCUUUAUUGUGGUGGUUUCACAACCCAGAAGUCACACAAGGUAGACAAUUUGUUCUCCCCACUCCAUCACCACACUGACCAUGGAUGCCUCCCAGCUGGGGUGGGGUGGGGGUCAUUACCUGGGACAGACAGUUCAUUCAAGGCACGUGGACUCUCCAGGAGACCAACCUGCAUAUCAGCAUUCUAGAAAUGAGGGCAGUGCUUCUAGUGUUCCAAGCACUCCACUCGCUUCUUUCUGUAGGGACUGUUGUGACUUACUGGCAACAUGUCAGUUGUGUGGUACAAACAAACAAGGUGAGACCAGAUCUUAACCCUUUGCCGAGAAGCAAUGAUGUUGUGGCAGUGGGCUCUCUCGACAAACUACUUUCUAAUCGCAGCACACAUUCCAGGGGAGCACAACAUACUGGUGGACAGGCUCAGCAGAGUUUUAUUGAUGAUGCCCCACAAGUGGCCUCUAAGUCAAUCAGUGGCAAACAAGAUUUUCCUCAAAUGGGGUCAAACUUGCUGCAACCUCUUUGCUUCUUCCCGCAACAACAAAUGCAGCAGGUUCUUUGUCCUGAUCCCUCCCCUCCGUAGGGACGAUCACCACCAGAUGUUCUAGUCCAUGCUUGGCCCCCCAGUCUACUUUAUGUAUUCCCACCUGUUCUGCUGAUCCUCACAUUUUUUCAGAAAAGAAGCAGGUUGAAGAACAAAGUGAUUCUCAUCACCAACUUCUGGCCUUGACAAAUCUGGCUCACCUACCUGUGAAUCGCAUCUGAUUUGCCCAUCGUGGACGCUGGAACCCUUUCCAGAUCUCCUAUCUCACCCUUCAGGGCAACUGCAUCCGGAUAUCCACAACUUGAAAUUAACUGCAUGGUUUCUUCAAUUCCAGUGAUGGCUAGACUUUCCAGUCUUUCUUCCCCAAUUCAGAAGAUUUUUAUUUCUUCCCAUAAGACCUCUGACAGAAAAAUUUAUAAAAGUAAAUGGAAAAGUUUUCCAUAUAGGCCCAAUAGUACUACAUUGACCCACUAACGGCGCCCGUUCCAGCAGUAUUGGACUUCUUCUCUUGUCUGUUUCAUUUUGGGGCCAGUUUUUCGACUGUCAAAGUUCAGUUAGCAGCCAUCUCUAAUUUCCAUAUUGAAGAAAAUUCUGGAUCCUCAGCUUCUUCUAGACUUUGCAAAGCUUUUCUUAGAGGUACAUUUCUACUUUGUCCACCUGUCAAAGAUCCUGUCCCUCUGUGGGACCUCACUGUGGUUUUCCAAGCACUGAUCUUAACUCCCUUUGAACUGGCUGCAAAGGUUGAUUUAAAAAUUUUGUUCACAGUAAUAGAAAUGUCAAGCCCAUUGCAUACUCUUACUACAAAGUGCCUUAGGUGUAUCCUUGUGAUGUAAAAGAUCUGGCUGCUGACCUUGUAGUCAGCCCUGGACGAAAAAGUUUUUUAUGCUUGGCAUUAUGUUACCAAAAAUCUGAAUUAAAUGAAUGAGUGAAACUACUCUGGAUGGCUCUGCUGUUUGUGGGGUUACUAUAGUAGUCAGAUGUGACUUAGCAGCAUUAUAUGGAAACUACCGCAGGCCUUAUCUCCGUUUAAUAGAGAUUCAUUUAAAAAAAUACAAUAAAAUGUGUUAAUUUAUGUUAUAUUUAAAGCAAACCACUGCUGUCACAUACUUUUCAAACAUAUUAAGAAACAUGAGCGGAUAAGUCAGUAUUUUUUUUUAUCAUUUUAUUAAUAGAAAGCAUGUCAUCUCAGCAAUAAAAAUAUAACCGUUGUUCACUGCUUUGAUUAACUCGGUGACCUUAGAAUCACAUUUACUGUCACUUUGCCAUCCCUUGAUUUGGGCAUGUGCUGGUGACAUCAUGCAGUCUACAUUAGGUACGUUAUUGCAUUCAAACAUCAUAGGAUAACCAGAAAAUAUUGCACAUACUAGGUGAGAAUCAGGUAGUUGAAUACUGUUUCCGUAAUAACUUCAAAAAUAAUGACAUAGAAAAGAAAAUAAACACAAAUAUAAGAAAUGUAAGCUAAUUUACAUGAUUUAAAAAAAUAUUUUUACAGAAUGUAUUUUAAGUCAUGGUACCAGAGUACAGUUAUUACACUAUCAUUUUAUACUAAACAAAAAAUCUACUUUUCUGAAUGUCAUAAAAAAUGAGUUGUCCAUGUUUGCUAAACUGGACUAGAAGAAAUGUUGGUGAGAACAUUUAUAAUUUCUAAAGCACUUCAUAAGGAAAGUAGACAUAUUCCCAUAGUCUGUUUUGUAGCAACAAAUACAACUAGGCUAAGAGGUGUAAAAAUGACAUUAAAAGUAGAGUUACAGUGCCACAGCCCCUCCCGACUGUCGUCAUGGAGGAUUUUGUUUGCGUUGAUAACAUAUCAAAACUUGCUGUAUACUAGUUGAUUAAACAAAAAGUUAAGUUUCAUUUCUCAUCAUUUCUUGAUGUAAGUAAGAUCCUGGCAUUGAGGAGAGCUGGGUUUAUUGACUUGGCAUGAAACUUAUCUCCCUUGCUCCUACCACCUUGUUUAAAAUAGCCAAAAGAGUGUGGAAGAAAAAUUCUAACUGUUUUGCUCAGGUUUUCUUUGUGUAUGUUUUUUUCUAUUGGAUUUAAUGAUCAGGACUAAGUAAAGUUAGCUUAGGUUUUCCUUCAUGUAUGACAGAGGUGUGAUGUAUCUGUUUCUCUCCAAUAUUCAGGAAUAGUCCUUCAGGGUCACUGGUGUACAUACUUUCAGAAUUCAUGCACUAAGGUCUGUAUAAGCGUGGCUAAUAAAAGAUGAGUUGAGUCAGGACAUGUAUUUUAGUCUGUCUUUCAUAAGUUAAAGUAAAGUACUCUUUGAAACACUUUAAAUGCCUUGAUAGUGUAAACGUUCAGAGUAUCAGACACAAGUGCAUUUGUGUUCAGAAAGCUGAGUGUUGUAGCCUUGCCUCAGCAGUAUUGAUCCUGUUCAGUGCAGAUAAGCUGUUUCAGCCCAUGCUGAAGGAUUAUAGACUCUAUCUGAACCACUCUUCCUUGUAAUAGCAUCUAUGAUCCUUUAGCUGUCCUGACCCAUACCGAAGGAUCAUAGAUGCUAUCAGGAGGUAGUGUUUCUCACCUGAAUGAGGCACUAGGUAAAGGGGAUUAGAAAUGGGUAUAGUUUUUAUACUAAUGAGAACAUUCCACUUGUGUUUAGGUAAACCUCUUCUGUACCAUAAGCAUUCCUUAACUUUUCUUGACUUUUUAGAAGAGUUUGACUGAAAGGUGACAUGUUCCUGUUUGGGGCUUGUACACAAUUCCUUUCCAUCAGACUGCUUUGAAUUCCUCCCCUCCCUUGGUGAAAAAUAGCAGUGUUCCAAGAGCUAAAAAGAAUCCUUUUUGCUCUCUAAUGAAAGCCUGACAGUUUUAAUUUUUUAUUUAUAUCAAUUUUUAGUUCCUAUACCUCUCACCCAUCUGGUCUCUUCUGUUCUCCUUAUCCCAAAUUAUUCCAUCUUGGAGCAUCUCACAUCACCUAUCAGUUAAUCCUUUCCUUGUAUUAUACUGUAAGAAGAGCAAGGCUGGGGGUGUGUGGGGGUGGCAGUUGUGACUCCUAAUUCUAUCAGCAGUGGAAUUUCUUUUCACAGCCUAUACAUUCCCUAGGCUAUAGAGAGAAAACAAAGCAUGCUGUCCAAACAAUGCCAUGUGUAUAUGUGGUCUUCCUGCAACUCAGAGGUACCUCCAGGAGUUGUACCCUUCCAGGAGGAUCUUCAAUAUUGUUGAGACCUACAGCUUCUGUUCCCAGAAAGAAAACAGGUCAUUCCCACCUUCCCUCUGGUUAUGUGUCCUUUACUUCUGUAAAUCCAUAAGUACCAUGUGGAAUGCAGACAUUGCAGUCUGGCAUCUUGAAUUUGAAGCACUGGGCUGGACAAGAAGCAUGUAGUUAAGUUCAGAGAUUCAUGCACAAGUAUACCUAGAAGGAAGUCAUUUAUUUUUUUAAUAUUCACAGGCUCUGAGUAUUUCCACAAAUUUUUCAAGGGGUAUGACAUUUUCCGUCACUAAGUAGAGAUCUGUAUUUUAAGCUCAGCUAUGUCCAGUUGUCACAAGUAAUGCCCAGUUACCCUUCCAUCACAAGGGAACACCUUUCAUCAGUUCAGAAAUUUAAAAGCAGGUUUAAAAAAAAGCCAUUUGAAUUAAAGUUUGUUCAGUGCAGAACAUCGUAGAAGAAAGCUUUCUCUGAAGUCAGUGAUGCAUUUGCUCAUAUGACGUUGCUAGUGUUGAGUUAUGUUGACCAGUGUGCCAUAUUAAGAAAAAGUAACGUUUCAAGUUAAACGGUACAGAAGCUGAUUCAGAGUGGCUAUAAUUCCAAAUGCUUAAUGGUGUAUUAGGAGAUGCCUGUGCUGGACAUGUUGAAGUUAUUACUUGCUAAAAGUAAUUUUAUAAAUGUGGUUUCAUGUUCUGCUGCUGCAAUUUUUUUCAACAUUUCACAAUAUCGUAUUUCUCAGAUGCAUUAGGAGCAGUUUUGGUCCGCCUUCUCUCAUUUGUGUCUGUGUUAGCCUGUCUGAAAAGUUCAGUGUUCUCUUGUAAAAUAGUAUAGUAUGAUUAGAAGGAAUAUAUUUACAAAAUGAAAGUGAUCCUUAAUAAAAGAAUGCAUAUCAGAAAUAGAUCUGUUUAUUUAAAAGUUAUAGAAGGGAAGAAAGUUGAUAACUGAAUUAAUAAAUAGAAGCAGCUUUUGUGGGGUGCAAUAAUUCAAUUAGUAUAGCUCUAAUGGAGAAAAAAAAAAGCUUUUUGUACAUAAAUGCUGUUCAGGUUCCCAGCAUUGUUGCUUGGUGUAAAAGUUUGUGUCCUGUUUUUUUGUUUUGCUUAAUAAAAUUUUGUUGAUUGCAAAUUUG